AUUGAACGCUGGCGGCAUGCCUUACACAUGCAAGUCGAACGGUAACAGGUCUUCGGAUGCUGACGAGUGGCGAACGGGUGAGUAAUACAUCGGAACGUGCCUAGUAGUGGGGGAUAACUACUCGAAAGAGUGGCUAAUACCGCAUGAGAUCUACGGAUGAAAGCAGGGGAUCGCAAGACCUUGUGCUACUAGAGCGGCCGAUGGCAGAUUAGGUAGUUGGUGGGGUAAAAGCUUACCAAGCCGACGAUCUGUAGCUGGUCGGAGAGGACGAUCAGCCACACUGGGACUGAGACACGGCCCAGACUCCUACGGGAGGCAGCAGUGGGGAAUUUUGGACAAUGGGCGCAAGCCUGAUCCAGCAAUGCCGCGUGCAGGAUGAAGGCCUUCGGGUUGUAAACUGCUUUUGUACGGAACGAAAAGCCCUGGGUUAAUACCCUGGGGUCAUGACGGUACCGUAAGAAUAAGCACCGGCUAACUACGUGCCAGCAGCCGCAGUAACAC
rnacentral:rRNA from 1 species